rnacentral:rRNA from 1 species
UACGUAGGGGGCAAGCGUUGUCCGGAUUUAUUGGGCGUAAAGAGCUCGUAGGUGGUUCGGUAAGUCGGAUGUGAAAUCUCCAGGCUCAACCUGGGAGGGUCAUUCGAUACUGCCGUGACUAGAGGUCGGUAGGGGAGUGUGGAAUUCCUGGUGGAGCGGUGAAAUGCGCAGAUAUCAGGAGGAACACCCGUAGCGAAGGCGGCACUCUGGGCCGAUACUGACACUGAGGAGCGAAAGCGUGGGGAGCGAACAGG